rnacentral:rRNA from 1 species
GACGUAGGGUGCAAGCGUUGUCCGGAUUUAUUGGGCGUAAAGAGCUCGUAGGCGGCUCGUCGCGUCGACCGUGAAAACCCGCAGCUUAACUGCGGGCCUGCGGUUGAUACGGGCGGGCUAGAGUUCGGUAGGGGAGACUGGAAUUCCUGGUGUAGCGGUGAAAUGCGUAGAUAUCUGGAGGAACAUCGGUGGCGAAGGCGGCAUCCUGGACCGGUAUUGACGCUGAGGCGCGAAAGCCAGGGGAGCAAACGGG